UUAUGGCCAUAUCACAUUGAAACACUGGUUCUCAUACAAACAUGGAAGUUAAGCAAUGUGGAGCCUGGUCAGUACCUAGAUGGGUGACUAUUUGGGAAUACCAGGUGCU